CCUACGGGUGGCAGCAACUGGGAAUCUUGCGCAAUGGGCGAAAGCCUGACGCAGCGACGCCGCGUGAAGGAUGACGGCCUUCGGGUUGUAAACUUCUUUUGCAUGGGACUAACACUGACGGUACCAUGAGAAUAAGCACCUGCUAACCACGUGCCAGCAGCCGCGGUGAGACGUGGGGUGCAAGCAUUAUCCGGAAUUACUGGGCGUAAAGAGUUCUGUAGGCGUCUAAUUAAGUUCUCAUUUAAAUCUCCAGGCUCAACCUGGAUUUCGGUGAGAAAACUAAUUAGAUUGAGAAAAGUAGGGACAUGGGGAACAAAUGGUGGAGCAGUGAAAUGCGUUGAUAUCAUUUGGAACACCAAAGGCGAAGGCACCAUGUUGGGCUUUUUCUGACGCUGAGAGACGAAAGCGUGGGGAGCAAAACGGAUUAGAUACCCUUGUAG
rnacentral:rRNA from 1 species